CUCAUCUAUACAGACUAGUAGAACAAUUUCAAAGUGAUUUUGAAUCAAUAGGUCACAUGACCUGGAAGCUAUUGAAUAAAAACCCUCAAUUUUGAC